rnacentral:misc_RNA from 1 species
GUUUGUGCAAGUUAAAAAGCCUUCCACGUUACCAGAUAUCCUUCCAAACGGGCAACGUAAAAGAGUAUUAUGGCGUCGCGAAGAGGAAGAGAUGAUUGAGGAAGGAGUUCAAAAAUUCUCAUCCAAAGUAAACAAAAACACCCCAUGGAGAAAAAUUCUAGACUUUGGUCAUCAUGUGUUUGAUCAUUCUCGCACUCCAACUGAUCUCAAGGACAAAUGGAAACAAAUGUGCUCU